rnacentral:rRNA from 1 species
GUAGGGAAUUUUCCGCAAUGGGCGAAAGCCUGACGGAGCAAUGCCGCGUGAAGGAUGAAGGCCUAUGGGUUGUAAACUUCUUUUCUCAGAAAAGAAUUAUGACGGUAUCUGAGGAAUAAGCAUCGGCUAACUCUGUGCCAGCAGCCGCGGUAAGACAGAGGAUGCAAGCGUUAUCCGGAAUGAUUGGGCGUAAAGCGUCUGUAGGUUGUUUAAAAAGUAUUCUGUCAAAGAUUAGGGCUUAACCCUAGAUAGGCAGAAUAAACUUUUAAGCUAGAGUUUGGUAGAGGCAGAGGGAAUUCCCGGUGGAGCGGUGAAAUGCGUAGAUAUCGGGAGGAACACCAAAGGCGAAGGCACUCUGCUGGGCCAAUACUAACACUGAGAGACGAAAGCGAGGGGAGCAAAUGGGAUUAGAAACCCGGGUAGUCC